CCUACGGGCGGCAGCAGUGGGGAAUAUUGGGCAAUGGGCGCAAGCCUGACCCAGCAACGCCGCGUGAAGGAAGAAGGCUUUCGGGUUGUAAACUUCUUUUGUCAGGGACGAAGCACGUGACGGGACCGGACGAAUAAGCAAGGGCUAACUACGGGCCAGCAGCCGCGGGAAUACGUAGUUGGCACGCGUUCUCCGGAUUGACUGGGUGUAAAGGGCGUGUAGGCGGGACUGCAAGGCAGAUGUGAAAACCAUGGGCUCACCCUGUGGCCGUCAGUUGAAACUGUGGUUCUUGAGUCCUGGAGAGGCAGACGGAAUUCCUAGUGUAGCGGUGAAAUGCGUCGAUAUUAGGAGGAACACCAGUGGCGCGGGCGGUCUGCUGGACAGCAACUGACGCUGAGGCGCGAACGCGUGGGGAGCAAACAGGAUUAGAUACCCUAGUAGUC
rnacentral:rRNA from 1 species